rnacentral:rRNA from 1 species
UGGGGAAUAUUGGGCAAUGGGCGAAAGCCUGACCCAGCAAUGCCGCGUGGAGGAAGACGCCCUUCGGGGUGUAAACUCCUUUUGUAGGGGAAGAAAUUGACGGUACCCUACGAAUAAGCUCCGGCUAACUCCGUGCCAGCAGCCGCGGUAAUACGGGGGGAGCGAGCGUUACUCGGAAUCACUGGGCGUAAAGGGUGCGUAGGCGGUUUGGUAAGUUAGGAGUGAAAGCCCACAGCUCAACUGUGGAACUGCUUCUAAAACUGCCAGACUAGAGUCCGGGAGAGGCUGCGGGAAUUCCUGGUGUAGGGGUGAAAUCCGUAGAGAUCAGGAAGAAUGCCGAAAGCGAAGGCGCGCAGCUGGAACGGUACUGACGCUGAGGCACGAAAGCGUGGGGAGCAAACAGG